AAAAAAAAAAACCACCAGGUAUAAAACAAAUCAUAAAUAAAAUCGUUCUCACACUCACUUACACUUACGCACACACACACACUUAGACUAGUAAAUCAGGUAGUAAAUCAGAUCAGAUUAGACGUUUUUCGAUUCGAUAUAAAAAAGUACAUAAUAAAUUAUUUCGUUAUGAAUUAUUUGUAAAAUUAUUUUCCACGAAUCGAUAAAACAUUUUUUAUUGGACUUUUUAAUUUUUUUGUAUUAUAAUGAACCAUUUAAGUUUUCGUCGGAUCGAGCUUACUGUUUGGUAAUCACUUUGUUCUAAUACAAUAAUAAUUGAUUUAGUCGGUGAUAUUUUGUCCUCCCGUGACGCUUCGCGGUGGUGUAGUAAUAGAUCCGAACAUUAUGCAGUAUUCAAACAGCGACACAGACGUAUUCGUCACCGCAUCAUUGACUAAUUUUUUGUUAUUGUUUUUCCCCAAUAACACCGUUGGUUCCGUUAAUUUUCUUGAUCGAAUAAUAUUAUUUAAAUAAUAUUUAUGUUCUCGAAAAAACCACAUAUUAUUAAGGGUUUUCAAUUUCGGCGUCUCUCCGUGUCGUGUGUGCCGCGUUAUUAUAUACGAGUUUAGUAUAAUAUUUUAAUCCUUUUACCGUGCGAGCAAACCGGCCCGUAAAAGUGUUAAGAACCGUGAAAAACUCGGAUUAUUAUCGUUAUAGAAUUCGAGAAAAAGCGGAGUGAGAAAAAAAAAACGAUAAUAUAUUUUUUUAGGUCCGUUCGGUGACACAUCACGACGAUCCGGCGAGUUUGAUUUAAAACGCGAUUAUAAUAUACGUAUGGGUGUUGAG